CCUACGGGUGGCAGCAGUAGGGAAUUUUGCGCAAUGGGCGAAAGCCUGACGCAGCAACGCCGCGUGAUCGAGACGCCCUUCGGGGUGUAAAGAUCUGUCAGUGGGGACGAAACUUGACGGUACCCACCGAGGAAGCACCGGCUAACUCCGUGCCAGCAGCCGCGGUAAUACGUGGGGUGCAAGCGUUGUCCGGAAUCAUUGGGCGUAAAGGGUUCGUAGACGGCCAGUAAAGUCAGGUGUUAAAGGCAGGGGCUCAACCCUGGUACGGCACUGGAUACUGGCGAGCUAGAAUGCGGUAGAGGUAAAGGGAAUUCCUAGUGUAGCGGUGAAAUGCGUAGAUAUUAGGAGGAACAUCGGUGGCGAAAGCGCUUUACUGGGCCGUAAUUGACGCUGAGGAACGAAAGCCAGGGUAGCAAAUGGGAUUAGAUACCCUAGUAGUC
rnacentral:rRNA from 1 species